CAGCAGCUGCAUGGUGGCCGGUGCGUGCAGCCGCAGGCAUCAUGUGCUUCGGCGCGUGCAUGGUGGCCGCCGGGCGUGCAGCUGCAGCAUCCGAGUGCAGCCGCCGCGUGCUGGCCCCCACAUAUGUUGGCCGAUUACGUGCUUGCCGUAGGCGUCCAAGGCCAAUGGAGGCCGCCGCCUUCAACUCGCGCUUGCCCUGCAGCCUUGAACGCCUCUAUCGCCAGUUCGGAUCAUGAUCAUUGUGUGUCCUUCUUUGUAACUUCGGAAACAGUUUAAUAAUUGUACAAAGAAGAACCUUGUGUUCUGGAAUAUGGAUUGAAGGUUACAGGCACAUUGACAUGAAUAUAAUAGUCGUUAGCAUCUCUAUAUCAUGUCCAGUCUUCGUCUUCGUCGUCGUCGUCGUCGUCGCCGCUGUAUCUUUCUGAGCCUCACCUCACAAUUUCAAUGCAAAAUGCAGCCAUCAUCUUGGAAUUCCUUGAGAAUAUCCCUGCCAAAUGCGCCUCCUGGGUGUUCCUGUGCGGUGCCAUCUUAAUACAGUGCUAAUGACACGCCUUCUGGUGGUCCGUGGGAGCAAAUUGGAGAAACGGAAGACGGGGGAAAGCAAUGCAUGGCUUCAAACUGGGGGGCGGGUUGGUAAUCGUCGAAUCGCGUGGUUGCAACUAGACUGAAUUAAACAGCAUUGUGCAUCAAAGUGUGACAGAAAUGCACGCGUCGCAUUUGGGCGAAUGUUAAUAUCGAUUUGUUCAUGAUGAAAGCAAGUGAUUACUAUUUACCACCGCGUAUCUGUGUCGCUAAAGAGCAGCAGCUUGAACUGGUUGAGAUGCUUGGGGUGGCGUCUUCUUUCAGUUUUCCUCUAGCCGCAUAUACACAGAGAGGGCGUAACUGUGAGAAACUUCAGCUCCAGGCUAACGGUUGGAAUUGUCCUCUUAUGAUUUUGCUUAAUGUUUACUUCCAUAUCAAACAUGAUGUUAAUGUUAAGUAUAUAUGUUGUGUUUGUC